rnacentral:piRNA from 1 species
UCCCUCAUCUUCAAUACGGUGGGCAUGUGU